UCUACAAAGCAAGCCCAGACGAUUCCCAGAAGUUUCUUCCAGACCACUGCAGCUAAGCUGACAAGCGCUAGAUGCAUCUAGUUUUGAAACGUCACUGCUUUCUCAAAUCAUCCUUAUAGAAGCUUAAAUUACAUGAGGUGACAUUUGAGCCAAAACCAGAGAAGCAGACAUCAACCCAAGACUUAGAGGAGAGUUCCUUCAGUGUGAAGGUCAGUGGAGCUGGUGAAUUAAAAGAAAAAAAGAAUGUGAUCUUUUAAAAACAGCAUUUUUGCAGAUGAUCAAAUCAAGAUGGAACAUUUGAGGUAGGAAGUAAUGUAACAUGACUGAUGUCCUUGUUAAACUGACUGAGCACAGAGGCCAUCGUUGUGACAGAACUGGCCUAUGUAGCAAGAAUGUGAACACUGGAAUUAGUUAGUUCCAACAUGCAACUACAUGCCCCUAAGGAAAGAAGAUGGCAGCUCCUUUCUCCACGGUGCUUCCUGGAAGAGGAUGUUUGGCUGAUGUGGAUAUUUUGAACUUCCUGCCUGCAGAAUCUUGAGACAAUAAAUUUCUUGUGUUUUGAUCACCUGGUUUUUCCUACUUUACUACAUCAGUGCUGGGAAGACGCUUUGUAAGAGUAAUAAAAUGAUCAGUGAAAAUAUGAAAAGCUGCACUAUCAUUAAACUUUGAAUUAAAACGUAACACAUUAUUUUCAGUGAUUAGGGAUUUUUAAAUGAGAUUACCUCCAAAUGGGCACUCUUAACACUGUGAGCAGGAGUGCAGCUUGCUAGACUUAAUGCACAUAAAGAUACACUUAAUGUAUUGUAGCACUUAACACCAUGAUUGGUAUAUUGUAAGAACACAGUAAGUGAUAGCUGUAAUAAAUGGUGUAAUUAUACAUCUGUAUUAAAAUUAUACAUGCUAUAUAAUGAUUGUGGUAGCAAUAAAGUACCUCUAGAUGGAAA